AAUGAACGUUGGCGGCAUGGAUUAGGCAUGCAAGUCGAGCGCUCGUAGCAAUACGAGAGCGGCGAACGGCGUAGUAAGGCGUAGGAACGUGCCCUAGGGUCCGGAAUAGCCACGGGAAACUGUGGGUAAUGCCGGAUAAUAUCCCCGGAUCAAAGGUGUGAUUCCGGCCUAGGAGCAGACUGCGUCCUACUAGCUAGUUGGUGGGGUAAUGGCCCACCAAGGCAAUGAUGGGUAGUGGGUGUGAGAGCAUGACCCGUCUCACUGGGACUGAGACACUGCCCAGACACCUACGGGUGGCUGCAGUCGAGAAUCUUCGGCAAUGGGCGAAAGCCUGACCGAGCGAUGCCGCGUGCGGGAUGAAGGCCCUCGGGUUGUAAACCGCUGUCGUAGGGGAGGAAGGUUCCGUGAAGAGCGGAAUUUGACCUAUCCUAGGAGGAAGUACGGGCUAAGUUCGUGCCAGCCGCCGCAGUAAAAC
rnacentral:rRNA from 1 species